CAGCAGCCGCGGUAAUACGUAGGGUGCAAGCGUUGUCCGGAAUUAUUGGGCGUAAAGGGAGCGUAGGCGGACAUUUAAGUCAGGGGUGAAAUCCCAGAGCUCAACUCUGGAACUGCCUUUGAUACUGGGUGUCUUGAGUGUGAUAGAGGUAUGUGGAACUCCGAGUGUAGAGGUGAAAUUCGUAGAUAUUCGGAAGAACACCAGUGGCGAAGGCGACAUACUGGAUCAUUACUGACGCUGAGGCUCGAAAGCGUGGGGAGCAAACAGGAUUAGAGACCCCGGUAGUCCCUGUCUCUUAUAC
rnacentral:rRNA from 1 species